UACGAGUGCCUCAAGCGUUAUCCGGAAUUACUGGGCGUAAAGGGCGCGUAGGCGGUUCGUACAGUCAGACGUGAAAUUCCUGGGCUCAACCUGGGGGCUGCGUUUGAUACGUGCGGACUUGAGUGCGGAAGAGGGUCGUGGAAUUCCCAGUGUAGAGGUGAAAUUCGUAGAUAUUGGGAAGAACACCGGCGGCGAAGGCGGCUAUCUGGACCACAACUGACGCUGAGGCGCGAAAGCGUGGGGAGCAAACAGG
rnacentral:rRNA from 1 species